rnacentral:rRNA from 1 species
UCAAGUAAAGGAAGAGCACAAGGCGGAUGCCUUGGCAGCAUAAGGCGAUGAAGGACGUAAUAACCUGCGAUAAGCCUCGGGGAGCUGGUAAAUAAGCUUCGAUCCGAGGAUUUCCGAAUGGGAAAACCCAAUACACAUAAGUGUAUUAUCUUAUACUGAAUACAUAGGUAUAAGAGGCAAACCUAGGGAACUGAAACAUCUAAGUACCUAGAGGAAAAGAAAUCAACAGAGAUUCCGGUAGUAGCGGCGAGCGAAACCGGACCAGCCCUUAAGCUUAUUUUAGUCCAGCAAAAUAUUCUGGAAAGUUUAGCCAUAGUAGGUGAUAGCCCUGUAUGCGAAAGACUAAUUUAAGUGAAAUCGAGUAGGUCGGGACACGAGAAAUCUUGACUGAACAUGGGGGGACCAUCCUCCAAGGCUAAAUACUCUAUGCUGACCGAUAGUGAACCAGUACCGUGAGGGAAAGGCGAAAAGAACCCCGGCGAGGGGAGUGAAAUAGAACCUGAAACCUUGUGCUUACAAGCAGUCGGAGCAGACUUGUUCUGUGACGGCGUACCUUUUGUAUAAUGGGUCAACGACUUAAUUUCAGUAGCAAGCUUAACCAUUUAGGGUAGGCGUAGGGAAACCGAGUCUUAAUAGGGCGCUCAGUUGCUGGAAUUAGACCCGAAACCGGGUGAUCUAUCCAUGGCCAGUGUGAAGGUCGAGUAACAUCGACUGGAGGCGCGAACCCACUUAUGUUGAAAAAUGAGGGGAUGAGCUGUGGAUAGGAGUGAAAGGCUAAUCAAACCCGGAGAUAGCUGGUUCUCUUCGAAAACUAUUUAGGUAGUGCCUCGUGUAUUACUGUAGGGGGUAGAGCACUGUUUCGGCUAGGGGGUCAUCCCGACUUACCAAACCGAUGCAAACUCCGAAUACCUACAAGUAUGAGCACGGGAGACAGACUGCGGGUGCUAACGUCCGUAGUCGAGAGGGAAACAACCCAGACUGUCAGCUAAGGUCCCAAAUUAUGAUUAAGUGGGAAACAAUGUGGGAAGGCACAAACAGCUAGGAGGUUGGCUUAGAAGCAGCCAUCCUUUAAAGAAAGCGUAAUAGCUCACUAGUCGAGUCGGCCUGCGUGGAAGAUAUAACGGGGCUAAAUCAUAAACCGAAGCUACAGAUCUUAAAUUUAUUUAAGAUGGUAGAAGAGCGUUCUGUAAGCGGUUGAAGGUAAGCUGAGAGGCGAACUGGACGUAUCAGAAGUGCGAAUGUUGACAUGAGUAACGAUCAAAGAGGUGAAAAACCUCUUCGCCGAAAAACCAAGGGUUCCUGUCCAACGCUAAUCGAGGCAGGGUGAGGCGGCCCCUAAGGCGAGGGCGAAAGCCGUAGUCGAUGGGAAACAGGUUAAUAUUCCUGUACUUUUUAUAACUGCGAUGGGGUGACGGAGAAGGUUAGACUAGCACGGCGACGGUUGUCCGUGUUCAAGGUUGUAGGCUGGUGUUCUAGGUAAAUCCGGAACGCUAAGGCUGAGAACUGAUAACGACCACUCUACGAGUGGGAAGUAGUCGAUACCAUGCUUCCAGGAAAAACCUCUAAGCUUCAGGUUAUAAGAAACCGUACCCUAAACCGACACAGGUGGUUAGGUCGAGUAGACCAAGGUGUUUGAGAGAACUAUGGUGAAGGAACUAGGCAAAAUAGCACCGUAACUUCGGGAGAAGGUGCGCCGCGUUUGGUGAUGAGACUUGCUCUCUAAGCUGAACGUGGUCGAAGAUACCAGGUGGCUGCGACUGUUUACUAAAAACAUAGCACUCUGCAAACUCGUAAGAGGAAGUAUAGGGUGUGACGCCUGCCCGGUGCCGGAAGGUUAAUUGAUGGGGUUAGCUUCGGCGAAGCUCUUGAUCGAAGCCCCGGUAAACGGCGGCCGUAACUAUAACGGUCCUAAGGUAGCGAAAUUCCUUGUCGGGU